rnacentral:rRNA from 1 species
UACGGAGGAUGCAAGCGUUAUCCGGAUUUAUUGGGUUUAAAGGGUGCGUAGGCGGGGCGAUAAGUCAGUGGUGAAAUCCAACAGCUUAACUGUAGAAUUGCCAUUGAUACUGUCGUUCUUGAGUGCAGCUGAAGAGGGCGGAAUGUGUUGUGUAGCGGUGAAAUGCUUAGAUAUAACACAGAACACCGAUUGCGAAGGCAGCUCUCUAAACUGCAACUGACGCUGAGGCACGAAAGCGUGGGGAU